GGGAUGCGCGCCUACCAUGCAGUCGGACGGUAGCACAGAGGACUUGGUCCCGGGUGACGAGUGGGGGACGGGUGAGUAAUGUCUGGGGAUCUGCCCCAUAGAGGGGGAUAACCCCUGGGAACGGUGGCGAAAACCGCACAACGUCUCACGACCCAAGAGGGGGACCUUCUGGCCUCUCACUAUCGGAUGAACCCCGAUGGGGUUAGCUAGUAUGCGGGGUAAUGGGCCCCCCCGGCGACAAUCCCCCGCUGGGCUGAGAGGAUGACCCCCCCCACUGGAACUGAGACACGGUCCCCACACCCACGGGGGGGGGCAGUGGGGAAUAUUGCGCAAUGGGGGCAAGCCUGAUGCACCCCUGCCCCGUGUAUAAAAAAAGCCUUUUGGUUUUAAAGUACUUUUUCCGGGGAGGAAAGCGACACGGUUAAUAACCCCGUCUAUUGACGUUUCCCCCACAAAAAACACCGGCUAAAUCCCUGCCCCCACCCCCGGUAAUACAGAGGGUGCAAGCGUUUAUCGGAAUUACUGGGCGUAAAGCGCACGCACGCGGUCUGUUAAAUCACAUAUGAAAUCCCCCGGCUUAACCUGGGAACUGCAUUUUAAACUGGCACGCUUGAGUCUUGUAUAGGGGGGUAUAAUUCCCCGUGUAUCGGUGAAAUGCGUAUAGAUCUGGAGGAAUACCCGUGGCGAAAGCGGCCCCCUGGACAAAGACUGACACUCACGUGCGAAAGCGUGUGGAGCACACACGAUUAUAUACCCCUGGUAGUCUACGCCCUAUACGAUAUCUACAUGUAGGUUGUUUCUCCUUGAGGAGUGUCUUCCCGGAGCUCAACACGUUAAAUCUACCCGCCCUGGGGGGAGUACAGCCGCCACAGUGUAAAACAUCUCAUGUAAUUGUACGCGGGGCCCGCCACAAGACGCGUGUAGACACGUGGUUAAUUCCAUGUCACACGCGCAGAAACCUUAACCCCACCAUCCUCGUGGC
rnacentral:rRNA from 1 species